GAUGAACGCUGGCGGCGUGCCUAAUACAUGCAAGUCGAGCGAACAGACGAGGAGUUUGCUCCUCUGACGUUAGCGGCGGACGGGUGAGUAACACGUGGAUAACCUACCUAUAAGACUGGGAUAACUUCGGGAAACCGGAGCUUAUACCGGAUAAUAUAUUGAACCGCAUGGGUCAAUAGUGAAAGACGGUUUUGCUGUCACUAAUAGAUGGAUCCGCGCCGCAUUAGCUUGUUGGUAAGGUAAAGGCUUACCAAGGCAACGAUGCGUAGCCGACCCGAGAGCGUGGUCGGCCACACUGGAAGUUAGACAGGGUCCUGACGCCUGCGGGAGGACGCAGCAGGGAAUCUUACGCAAUGGGGGAAAGCCUGACGGAGUACAGCCGCGUGAGUCAUGAAGGUCUUCGGAUCGUAAAGCUCUGUUAUUAGGGGAGAACAAAUGUGUAAGUAACUAUGCACGUAUUGACGGUACCGAAUCAAAAAGCCACGGCUAACUACGUG
rnacentral:rRNA from 1 species